rnacentral:rRNA from 1 species
CCUACGGGGGGCAGCAGUGAGGAAUAUUGGUCAAUGGACGCAAGUCUGAACCAGCCAAGUAGCGUGAAGGAUGACGGCCCUACGGGUUGUAAACUGCUUUUAGUUGGGAAUAAAAGGGGGCUCGUGAGCCCCGUAUUGUAUGUACUAUCAGAAAAAGGAGCGGCUAAUUCCGUGCCAGCAGCCGCGGUAAUACGGAAGGUCCGGGCGUUAACCGGAUUUAUUGGGUUUAAAGGGAGCGUAGGCGGGCUUUUAAGUCAGCUGUGAAAGUCCGCGGCUCAACUUAGAAAUUGCAUCUGAUACUGUUCGGCUAGAGAAUAGUUGCGGUAGGCGGAAUGUAUGGUGUAGCGGUGAAAUGCUUAGAGAUCAUACAGAACACCGAUUGCGAAGGCAGCUUACCAAGCUACUUCUGACGUUGAGGCACGAAAGCGUGGGGAGCAAACAGGAUUAGAUACCCUUGUAGUC